AUGAACGCUAGCUACAGGCUUAACACAUGCAAGUCGAGGGCAGCGCAGUGUAGCAAUACAUGGGCGGCGACCGGCGCACGGGUGCGUAACAGGGUGUGCAAUCUGUCCUAUACCAGAGCAUAGCCCAGCGAAAGUUUGGAUUAAAUUCUCUAUGUGAGCCGAGAGGGCAUCCUUUUGGUUUGAAACGCGAGGGUAUAGGGUGAGCACGCUUCUGAUUAGCUAGUUGGUGAGGUAACGGCUCACCAAGGCGACGAUCAGUAGGGGUUCUGAGAGGAAGGUCCCCCACACUGGAACUGAGACACGGUCCAGACUCCUACGGGAGGCAGCAGUGAGGAAUAUUGGUCAAUGGUCUGACGACUGAACCAGCCAUGCCGCGUGAAGGUGACGGCCCUAUGGGUCUUAAACUUCUUUUGUAAGGGAGCAAUAAGGGCUACGUGUAGUCCGAUGAGAGUACCUUACGAAUAAGCAUCGGCUAACUCCGUG
rnacentral:rRNA from 1 species